UUAAGCGACUAAGCGUACACGGUGGAUGCCCUGGCAGUCAGAGGCGAUGAAGGGCGUGCUAAUCUGCGAUAAGCGCCGGUAAGGUGAUAUGAACCGUUAUAACCGGCGAUACCCGAAUGGGGAAACCCAGUGUGACUCGUCACACUAUCAUUAACUGAAUCCAUAGGUUAAUGAGGCGAACCGGGGGAACUGAAACAUCUAAGUACCCCGAGGAAAAGAAAUCAACCGAGAUUCCCCCAGUAGCGGCGAGCGAACGGGGAGGAGCCCAGAGCCUGAAUCAGCAUGUGUGUUAGUGGAAGCGUCUGGAAAGGCGCGCGAUACAGGGUGACAGCCCCGUACACAAAAGCGCAUGUGCUGUGAGCUCGAUGAGUAGGGCGGGACACGUGGUAUCCUGUCUGAAUAUGGGGGGACCAUCCUCCAAGGCUAAAUACUCCUGACUGACCGAUAGUGAACCAGUACCGUGAGGGAAAGGCGAAAAGAACCCCGGCGAGGGGAGUGAAAAAGAACCUGAAACCGUGUACGUACAAGCAGUGGGAGCCCCACCACUAAGCCAGUGGUGAACUCCACAUACGCAUCCUUUGCUGAGGAUACGGUUAACGGAGCGAAAGCGACGUUCAACCGCAAAAGAAGCAGAGGGGGCUUAGUGGUGGGGUGACUGCGUACCUUUUGUAUAAUGGGUCAGCGACUUAUAUUCUGUAGCAAGGUUAACCGAAUAGGGGAGCCGGAGGGAAACCGAGUCUUAAUUGGGCGUUAAGUUGCAGGGUAUAGACCCGAAACCCGGUGAUCUAGCCAUGGGCAGGUUGAAGGUUGGGUAACACUAACUGGAGGACCGAACCGACUAAUGUUGAAAAAUUAGCGGAUGACCUGUGGCUGGGGGUGAAAGGCCAAUCAAACCGGGAGAUAGCUGGUUCUCCCCGAAAGCUAUUUAGGUAGCGCCUCGUGAAUUCAUCUCCGGGGGUAGAGCACUGUUUCGGCUAGGGGGCCAUCCCGGCUUACCAACCCGAUGCAAACUGCGAAUACCGGAGAAUGUUAUCACGGGAGACACACGGCGGGUGCUAACGUCCGUCGUGAAGAGGGAAACAACCCAGACCGCCAGCUAAGGUCCCAAAGUCAUGGUUAAGUGGGAAACGAUGUGGGAAGGCCCAGACAGCCAGGAUGUUGGCUUAGAAGCAGCCAUCAUUUAAAGAAAGCGUAAUAGCUCACUGGUCGAGUCGGCCUGCGCGGAAGAUGUAACGGGGCUAAACCAUGCACCGAAGCUGCGGCAGCGACACUCAGGUGUUGUUGGGUAGGGGAGCGUUCUGUAAGCCUGUGAAGGUGGCCUGUGAGGGUUGCUGGAGGUAUCAGAAGUGCGAAUGCUGACAUAAGUAACGAUAAAGCGGGUGAAAAGCCCGCUCGCCGGAAGACCAAGGGUUCCUGUCCAACGUUAAUCGGGGCAGGGUGAGUCGACCCCUAAGGCGAGGCCGAAAGGCGUAGUCGAUGGGAAACAGGUUAAUAUUCCUGUACUUGGUGUUACUGCGAAGGGGGGACGGAGAAGGCUAUGUUGGCCGGGCGACGGUUGUCCCGGUUUAAGCGUGUAGGUGUGUGUUCCAGGUAAAUCCGGUUCACUUUAACACUGAGGCGUGAUGACGAGGCACUACGGUGCUGAAGCAACAAAUGCCCUGCUUCCAGGAAAAGCCUCUAAGCAUCAGGUAACAUCAAAUCGUACCCCAAACCGACACAGGUGGUCAGGUAGAGAAUACCAAGGCGCUUGAGAGAACUCGGGUGAAGGAACUAGGCAAAAUGGUGCCGUAACUUCGGGAGAAGGCACGCUGACACGUAGGUGAAGUGAUUUACUCAUGGAGCUGAAGUCAGUCGAAGAUACCAGCUGGCUGCAACUGUUUAUUAAAAACACAGCACUGUGCAAACACGAAAGUGGACGUAUACGGUGUGACGCCUGCCCGGUGCCGGAAGGUUAAUUGAUGGGGUCAGCGCAAGCGAAGCUCCUGAUCGAAGCCCCGGUAAACGGCGGCCGUAACUAUAACGGUCCUAAGGUAGCGAAAUUCCUUGUCGGGUAAGUUCCGACCUGCACGAAUGGCGUAAUGAUGGCCAGGCUGUCUCCACCCGAGACUCAGUGAAAUUGAACUCGCUGUGAAGAUGCAGUGUACCCGCGGCAAGACGGAAAGACCCCGUGAACCUUUACUAUAGCUUGACACUGAACAUUGAGCCUUGAUGUGUAGGAUAGGUGGGAGGCUUUGAAGCGUGGACGCCAGUCUGCGUGGAGCCGACCUUGAAAUACCACCCUUUAAUGUUUGAUGUUCUAACGUGGACCCGUAAUCCGGGUUGCGGACAGUGUCUGGUGGGUAGUUUGACUGGGGCGGUCUCCUCCUAAAGAGUAACGGAGGAGCACGAAGGUUGGCUAAUCCUGGUCGGACAUCAGGAGGUUAGUGCAAUGGCAUAAGCCAGCUUGACUGCGAGCGUGACGGCGCGAGCAGGUGCGAAAGCAGGUCAUAGUGAUCCGGUGGUUCUGAAUGGAAGGGCCAUCGCUCAACGGAUAAAAGGUACUCCGGGGAUAACAGGCUGAUACCGCCCAAGAGUUCAUAUCGACGGCGGUGUUUGGCACCUCGAUGUCGGCUCAUCACAUCCUGGGGCUGAAGUAGGUCCCAAGGGUAUGGCUGUUCGCCAUUUAAAGUGGUACGCGAGCUGGGUUUAGAACGUCGUGAGACAGUUCGGUCCCUAUCUGCCGUGGGCGCUGGAGAACUGAGGGGGGCUGCUCCUAGUACGAGAGGACCGGAGUGGACGCAUCACUGGUGUUCGGGUUGUCAUGCCAAUGGCACUGCCCGGUAGCUAAAUGCGGAAGAGAUAAGUGCUGAAAGCAUCUAAGCACGAAACUUGCCCCGAGAUGAGUUCUCCCUGAGACUUUAGGUCUCCUGAAGGAACGUUGAAGACGACGACGUUGAUAGGCCGGGUGUGUAAGCGCAGCGAUGCGUUGAGCUAACCGGUACUAAUGAACCGUGAGGCUUAACCUU
rnacentral:rRNA from 1 species